rnacentral:rRNA from 1 species
CAUGUAGGCGGUCUGCCAAGUCUGAUGUGAAAGCCCCGGGCUCAACCCGGGAAGUGCAUUGGAAACUGGUAGACUUGAGUACGGGAGAGGAAAGUGGAAUUUCGAGUGUAGGGGUGAAAUCCGUAGAUAUUCGAAGGAACACCAGUGGCGAAGGCGGCUUUCUGGACCGAUACUGACGCUGAGAUGCGAAAGCGUGGGGAGCAAACAGGAUUAGAUACCCUGGUAGUCC